rnacentral:lncRNA from 1 species
GGGAAUCAUAGUGCAUUGUGGGUAAAAACUGUGUCUAUGUGUCUGGAAUGUCCCCAUAUUUGUCUGUCAUUUAAGUCUCCCAUUUGGUCCCCUAGGGGAGUGUCCACCAAGUGGAAGACCUGCAUAAAUACGGGCAGGUAGCCCACAGUAAAGCCAGAUCCUGUUUGACCCUCAAUGCGGAGCUUCUGUCUUGUUAUUGUGGGGAUUUAUUAUUUGUGUUUAGAGACUGCUGGAUGGAAACGAAAGCCGCUUGGUGGAUGUUAUUAUUCGGCGGCUAGCAGCAGUUCGUGUAUUGCCGUUCGGGAGUUUGGAGCCGUUCACGGAUCCCGGUCGGGAGAUUGCCGCUUCCCCUGCAUUUGGUUCGUGCACUACAGGUUAGGUGAACGGAGUUACUGAUAUUGCAGACGGGGAAGGUCUACUAAACGGAGGUUUUGCACAAAGACACUGGAGGUGUCUUAACACCUAAUAUCUAGAUACCCUCACCUACCAGUAAUGUUGAUGUUUUAAUCGGAUUCUAGAUAGAUCUCACAAGCUUGUUUAUAAACCUGUUAUUAUACCCUUAUAAAAAUGAGUGCAAGACUAACUCAAUGCCUUAUACCAUGUAAGCUAUGUAUCCUGACUUUCUUGUUAAAUGCUAUUGUGGCAUGCCAAGCUGUAUGUAAUCACCUGCACUACAAAAAUAAAGAAGUAAAAAAAAAAAAAAGUGCUGUGGAAGAAGUUGGCACUAUAUAAAUUCCCAUAAUAAGGCAAAGAUUAUACACUUCCUUCUAGCAAUACCAAUUCACACCAGUAGUGGGUGCUGUAAUGGGCUGUAACAAUCAGCUGACACUCUCAGCCAAUUAUAGACUCUUGUUGCUGCUUAGACUGAAACUUCCUCAAUAGCCCAAGUAGCAGAGAGGAUUGGCUGUCGGGGGCUCUUUUUUACCACUAAAACAUCAAAAACUGUUUAACGCUAAAUGGAAGGAUGGUAUGAAAGGACUGCAGACACAAUAACUACUUCAAAGAUAUCAAGAAGUUACAGUGCCUACAAUGUCCCUUUACGUUAAAACUAAGCCGUGUUACCCUCACAUCAUUGAUAUUGAUAUUACAAGGUUAACAGAAAAUUUGAAGGAAGGGAAUUGAUGAUGCUAACAGAUGUGUCAUUAACCUAACAUAAUCCAAAUAAACACGGAAAUGUGCAUGUUUCUUUAAGGUAUCUCCAAACAAAUUAUUUAGGUACAUGCGUAUUUAUUAUGUUAUUAAUUUUACUACAGACACUCCUCACUUACAGACCAGAUUCCGUUCUUAUGACUCGGUCAGAAAACGAAUUGGUCGAUAAGUGAGAAUGAGAUACAGAGAAUGCACACCAGUGCAGGUCUAUGUUUAGGGAAAUUUCCCUCUAAUCUAUGUUCGGGGAAUGUUCCCUGAUCUUAGAUUUGAGGGAUUUCCUGCUCUGUUGCACUUGUCUAGGUUCUUUUCUAUGUAUAGACCAGCUUUCUAGUGUGGGGAAUGCCCUGAAUCCCUGCGCUAAAGAGUUGGUCAUAACUCCAAGUUGUCGUUAAACAGGUCAGUCGUAAAGUGAGGACUACCUGUAGUUAUAUUUCAGCUACAGCAUUUAUUUACCUUUUAUUUAUGCAAUCGAUUAACGAGGCAUUGUUACAUAAUAGUGCUUGUACCGCAUAAUCAGGGGAGGUGCUUGUAGGUGUUUAUUCUGCUCAUGCAAAAACCACCUGGAAUUAUUUUAGAGAAUUGGGUAUUUUUAGUAAGGUAUUUUCAAGUUCUUUUGAAAUGCUGAAUUUGAUAAGUUUGUGAUGGUCUUGUAAAUGUGUUGCUAACUUCUUUGCAGCAGGAUUGCAAUCUCCAUAUAUUGAGUGUUUAAAGCAAUAUACCUCUGUAUAUUUAACCAUUUAGUAGAUAUACCCUUAAUGCAUGCAUUUAAUUAUAAAAAUAAGAAAAGGGUCAGCUCUAAUAAAAUUGAAGUAAGGUAGGCAGCGGCCCAACAGAAGGUAACCCUCAAACUCUCUGAGGAGAGACCAUGUAACACAAAGAAAUACAGGAAAAGGGCUGUGCCAAUAGUUAAAAGGUACAAUAGUUCGUCGGAAAUGGUAGGGCAAUAUAACGUAGUUGGUCUCACUGAUAUGGUGGGACUAAAGUUCUGAUGGAGUAACUGAAGGUAAAUACCGAUAAUAUUGAGGUCUCACUCAGAAGUAAGUAUCUUUAUAAGGUAACAAAAACAAGAAUAAUAGGUUGCGCUACGUAAAUAUCAAAUGAAAAAGGGAUAAAUAUGGCAAAACACUUUAAAACGUAAAAGAGGAAUAAUAUGUAUAAAGAAAAGG